rnacentral:tRNA from 1 species
AUACGCAAUGAGUCAGUGUGUCUGGCUGUAAACCAGAAGGCUGGUGGUUCGAGCCCACCCAGGGAUG